rnacentral:rRNA from 1 species
GCUUGCUCCCGGGUGACGAGUCGGCUGGACGGGUGAUGGAACACUGUGUGCAACUGCCUUUAUCUGGGGGAUAGCUUUCGAACAGUGAAGAUUAAUACCCCAUAAUAUGUUGGAUGGCAUCAUUCGACAUUGAAAACUCCGGUGGAUNACGCAGAUGGGGCACGCGCAAGAUUCAGAUACGUUGGUUGAGUGUACCGGGUCACCAAAGUCUACGAUCUUUCACGNGGGGCCUGACAGGGUGAUCCCCGCAACUUGGUUACUUGAUGAACCAACUGUGGACCCAAGACUUCCUUAACGGGCACGGCACGCCAGCUGAGGGAACUAUCUUGGGUGCCACAUGGGCGUGAGANGCCUUGCAUUCCAAGGUCAUACCCCUGCAUUGGAACUGGACUGAACUUGGCCCUAAUGGGGGUCUUGUAAAGACUUNCUCAUCGUGGUGCAUUAAGNGGGGAUUCAACAAAGCGCUUAACCCCUUCCUGCUUGAAGUGGGUUAAUCGCGUUGCGACAACGUGGGUAAGCCUAAUUACUGACAAGUUAAAGCNGGCCAUCCCCCGUGGCUUCAANAGCAGUCCCUGGUCUUGACCCCAAGAGCAAUGGACA